rnacentral:lncRNA from 1 species
GAAUAAAGAGCUCUAAGUCUUCCAUUCCAUUAGACUCCACCCCCGAAUGACAUCACAAAAGGAGCACCAAUGCCCAGAAGCCCAAGCCCUACCUUAGACCUGCAGGAGGGCACCCCCUCCCCCCCUACAUGAUCUGCCUGGUGGUCUGAUAGUCAGAAUAUUUGCCCAAACUUUCCAUCAGGGUUUGGUCAACCAGAAAACUAAUAGAGGUGCCCAAAACAGCAGCCAGUUAAUUUUUCUGGCAGAUGGAACAGGCAUACUAUUAAGGAGAACAGAGGACGUAGAGUUACAUCCAUCUUAUGAAACUCACUGCCAAAAACAAACAAGGCAUCUCUUCAAGGAAGGAGAGAUAUCUCUAGCAACUUUCAGACAGGGUUCUGCAUUCCUAGUGGAGUUGUGCAGAGUUCUUCCAUGGAAUUUACCUUGACGGGAUAAAAAGAUGGCACCCGAGGAGUGAGUAGCAGGGGCCUUUACCUCUUUUCUGCUGGUGGGCUAAGAGAUGCCCCGUGCAGCUGAUAUCAAGGACAGGUAAUGGAAAAAUGAGGCCUAGAUUAUAGUGAUCACUGCCUCAGAGCAAUGAACACCGGCGAGGCUUAAGAUUGAAGGAACAACGAGGCCAGGCACUCUGUCCCACUCCAUUCCAGCAGUGGUCAGUGGAUUCUUCAAGGAUUUACCUGAAAGAUGAGUGAUGGGCUGUGGAUCUCCCUCAGUCCCAAGGAAUUUAAUCAGCUCCAAAAAUAUUCAGAAUGUGAGUAUCCUCUUGUUUGGGGAAGGCUGUCAUUGGAAAAUAGAGCAGUAGAGAGAGAC